GUUUAUUUCCUUUUUCCAAGAAUCCAUGUAAAGGAAAUUAAAUAAAUGUUUACUACUAAGCCUAUAGCGUAAUACCAGCAGUAUUAGCCAUACAUUAAACAAAGUCUGAUUCCAGGUACCUGGUCUCAGAGUAGCUAGGAUAUGUGAAUACACUAUAAAAUAAAAUGAUUAAAAUUAAAGGUUAGAUGACGUAAAUGCACAAAUG